CAGCAAUACCUUUAGCGGCACGCUGACCGUGACCGUCGAUCAGGUUCUGGCCAAUGGCAAUUUACACGUCGUGGGGGAAAAACAGAUCGC
rnacentral:tRNA from 1 species